ACCACAGCCACAGCAACACCAGAUCUGAGCUACAUCUACAACCUGUGCUACAACUUGCAGCAACACUGGAUCCUUAACCCACUGAGCAAAAGCAGGAAUCAAAUCUGCAUCAUCAUGGAGACAAGUGUCAGGUCCUUAACUUGCGAAGCCCAACGGGAACUCCUAUAGAUUUUUUUAAAUUAAUAGAAGUAACAAGACAUGUACACACCUUUCUGUGGAACAAGCCAGUAAGUCAAGCUUUCACCGAAUGGUACAUAUCAAUUACCAGAGGACUCCAGAGGAAGUAACAGCCUUGGAUUAAAGGAGACCGAGGUCGGUUCUCCUUUAAGCUACAACUUACAUUAAAAGAAAGGAUGCAAACUGGGCAUAUAGAGGUAGAAGCUGGCCAUCUCAAGCGAGGUCAGCAGAGGAAGAGCAGACUGCAGAUGGUCCCUGACCGACAGUUCCACUAAAGGAUUUUCUGACUUCUCUGUGGUGAGAGAGGGGUAUGUAUUCAGUAGAAACUACACUUGGAUCUCUUCCUGGGCUGCAUGAUGUGACACCAUCUCAUGAUGCAGCAGCAGCAGCAGCUCCCGGGCAGCCCAGCCAUCAUGAGCAUGAACCACCACUACACUUACAAGCACUCUGCAACCACCAGCCCGCUAUGCUGCUUUUCACUUUCAGGACAGCAUUCAAUAAAUUCCAUGAGAUACUCAACAUUUUAUUAUAAAAUAGUAACCCCAUCAAAAGUUGAGAAAGAUCUGUAGGGUCCAGAAAUCACUGGGUUUAUUAAAUGAAUGGUUUGCAUGUUAGUCUGGGCAGAAUUAAAUGCCAGAAGCAAAUGCCAGGGCAGAAUUAAGUGUAUGAGCGUUUUAUUAGGAAACAAACAUAAGAGGAAAAAUGGAGAGGUCUGUAGAAGUCAGGAAGGGUAGGUCUGACCCUGAGUGAUGAAGACAGGAAAGGCAGAUCACUCUGAGGUCUAUGGCCAAUGUCAGCCUCAGAGGGGAACAAGUUACUACGCUCAGUAAUUGGCUGGAAGCUGUGCAUGGGAAGUUGACCUCAUGGGAGGCACUAAGGGUGAUGGCCUCAAGAGGGCAGCACUGACACCGUAGCUCAGUUACACUCCAGGUGGGGGACCUCUCCCGGCCACUAAAUUGUGAGCUGAACAGGUUACUUUUCAUCAUCUUAUAAAAUGUGUUAAAAUAUUCAUUUAUUAACAUUAAAGUAGUUUUCAGUAUUAGUCAGGCAAGUUUAGAGUCUGAUCAGAUUUAAAUCCUAGAUACCACAUAUAUGUGGUUUGAUGCAAGAUAACUAAUACCUCAGAAUCAUGUAGUCUUCAUUUGUAAAAUCAUGAUAAUUAUCCCAAUCUCAUAUAUUUGCUGUAUGCAUGUAAAUUACCCAGCACUAAUGUCCAGCACACAGAGGGGAAAAAAUGGUAAGAGUCUCCUGAUUUAAUAUCUAACAAAAAGUGUAUUCUAAAAUUUUUGAAAGAUGAUUCUAUUCUCAACAAAGGAUAUCUAUUUAAGUUUAGAUAAUCAAUGUUAGCUCCUUUCUAAUAAUAACAGUAUCACUGAAAAUAUUAUGUCCUAUAUCUCUCUGUUAAUAAGGUUUGCCAAAUGACUUGUAAAAGUAAUUUAAAAGGCCAGCAAUUAUAAAGUCACUUGUCACAGAAGUUCAUUUUGUCUGCAGAACUCAUGAAAGUCAGUAUGAUUUCAUUAUGAAAUUGUUCCACAGGCGAUAUGAAAGCAUUUUCAUAUUGUCAACAGAAUAACCAUUGCAUGAGAAAUUAUUACUUAGCACACCUAUCCAUUAACUAAAGUGUACACCUACAAACCAUUAGGAAAUGAAGAAAAUGUAACAAAGUCUCACUAAAUUGACUUUUAAUCUGGUUAGAUUCUUAGGUUCUUAUUCUUUACAACUGCAGUUACUAAACUGCAUAUUCCAAUAAUUUUUCAUAAGAAUGUUCAAAACGUGCCGUGCAUAAAAAUAUUGACCAUACAUUUUUAGUGCAUUAUAUACAGUUUAGAUUAAAUGUAAGGAUACUUAGAAAAUAACAGAGUUCUUCAGAUUUCCUUUGGGAAUUAAACAUAUUUUCAUAUAGUGAAAACAAAAUCAUGACAAAAGAAUCUAUCCAAUUGCAGAUGGUUUGAAAAGUUUCUUUUCAUACUCCACUUGAGUAAAAUAUAAUAAAACUCUGCUCAGAAUCAAAUCCUGAUUAUUUGAUGUUUAAAAUCACCCUUAGUUUCUUUCAGAGGUAGAGAGCACAGAGCCAACACUGGGAAUUAUUAGGGUGUAUUCCUACAGAUAUGUCCUUUGCCUACUGCUACUCAAUUCCUAGUCUUGCAAAAUAUCUUCUUCCUGAUGAAUGUAUCUGUUUAGGAUGAGAACAAGAUGAGCAUAUCAUGUGAAAAGAUGUGUUAUAGUCAACAGAGAACGUCAAGAAUGUCUUCAGUGACAGGAGUUCCCACUGUGGCUCAGUGGUAAUGAACCAAACUAGUAUUCAUGAGGAUGUAGGUUCGAUACCUAGCCUCUCUCAGUGGGCCAAGGAUCUGGCAUUGCUGUGGCUGUGACAUAGGUCAGAGAUGCGCCUCGGAUCUAGUGGUGCUGUUGCUGUGGUAUAGGCCAGCAGCUGCAGGUCCAAUUUGACCCCUAGCCUGGGACCCUCCAUAUGAUGCAGGUGUGGACCUAAAAAAUACACAAACACACACACACGCACACACACACACACAUAUAUAUGUAUAUCUUCGAUUUCAAAGAGCUGUCCAUAUAGUGGAGGAUAUAACACCAAUCAAGCUGGAACUAAACAGGCUCAUAGACAAAGCCAUGAAGUUUAGACAGAGGGACAGUGAGUGACGGCAGAGAAUCAUUCCUUAGCAAAUAUGUAUUAAGGAUCUCUUGUGAGCCAGGACUAUUGCAAGAACUGUAAUAUGGUAAUAAAUAAAAUAAUAAUUCUCUGUCUUCCCAAGGUUUCCAUUCUUGCAGGGGAAUACAAGCAAUAAACAGUGGAAUUAUCUACACUAUGAGAAGCUCUAACACCAAUUGGACAAGAGCACAGAUGCUGGAGACAAACAGCGAGCCUCUGAAUCUCUGCUCUGCUACUUUAUUGCUCUGUAGUCUAGGAUGAACUUUGCAUAUCGGCAGGCCUCAAGUUCCCCACAUGGAAAAUGAAGAUAAUAAAACUGUCUCCUCUUGUUGUUAUGAGGAUUAAGCGAGUUAAUAUAGCUAACGUUCUUAGAACAGUGUAUGGAACAUAAAAUCAUAGAAACACCUGCUGUUAUUACUAUUAAUGCGAUUUAUCAGGUGGAUAGAUGAGCUAUGGGGAAAUUCAUCAGUUGGAGGGGAGGCUGUAUGGGUACCUGAUAGAAGGCGUGUGAUUAGAUGACACCUGAGCAGAGGCCCAGAGAUGAUGCAGAAGGAGGGCUUGCUGACCUCUGGGACGAGAGUGUUCAGGCACAGGGGACAGGAUCAUUUUAGGAGCUUGGCCUUUACAGUCAUUGAUCUGGAACAGUAGAGGGAUUUGGGCAGAAUACGACACGAUCUAACUUACAUUUUUAAAAAGAUCAUACUCCUUAAGCCAACCUAUAUUUUAAAAAAGACCACACUCACUGAUCUGUGGAGCACAGGCUCUCAGGGAUGGAAAAAGACACGCUGUUCGGAAGCUACUGCAAUGAUCUGGGAGAGAGGACGGUGCACUGGACCAGAGUGGCACCGGGGAUGACAUGAAAAACCAACAAACAAAAAACUGAAGUCUACAUAUAUUUUGUAGAUAGAUCUAAUGGGAUUUUUUGACGGAGAAGAUCUAGGUUGUAAAAGAGAAUUCAAGUGGUCUCCCAAGUUUUCAGCUUGAGAGAUUACAAGCAUAGUUUCCAUUUAUCAAGGAAGGAAGGCAGGCCAGUGGAUGGACAAUGUUUUGGCCCCACUGGAAAACGUAAAUUACAAACAAGAAUACAGCUCGCUGAGAUUAGCAAAGACACGGACUGCAAAUGAGAAGCAGAAGAUACAUCCUCUACGUAUGGACAGUUCGUGGAAGAAAGGAUUUUAUUUUGGGGAAGCUUAGGAGAAAUCACCCUUCUUUCUUGCUUCCCUCCCUCAUUCCCUGCUUCCUGUGUAUUUUUCUUCCCUCCUCCCUC
rnacentral:lncRNA from 1 species